CUUUUUGUUAUUGGUGCAUAUCAACUUAACUUAACUGAGUUAAAAAAAAUCAUCAACUUGCCCAGCCUUGAAUUAUUAUCUGCAGUCGUUGCAAUUUUCACAAGUUUUACAAUGAUGAUUUCCAACCGGUCGAUCGUAUAAUAAUAAUAAUAAUAAUAAUAACCGGAUCCGGUGGCGGUUCGACGAGAGUGCACAGACAUCUCUUGGCUUGUACCGGAAACUGCAGGCUGCAAGACGGUCGAAUAAUAUUUGUCUCUUCGAGCGGAUCCAACAACCGUUGGAUUUUCGAGUAGGUACAAGUAUCCAACAGAAUUCGAGUUUGCACAAAUUGCCUAUUUAAGUACCUAAUUUUAGAGGCAUAAUAUUUUGUGUGAAAUAAUUCAUAUUAUACCAUAUCAAUGGCGUUCAAGGGAAAUAUGUCCUGCAAUAGUGUUGUGGUUAUAUUAUUAAACAUAUUCAUGUGAUAAAUCUAAAAAAAAUCCAACAGGGUUCUGGUGAACUCCCUCCCCCUCACCGUGCGAACACGACAUAAUAUAUUGAUCAAAGAUCGCCAUGCCACCAUGUGUCCUGGAAAAAUGCGAGCCCGGCGUAAUAUAUUAUGAACAAUGAACC